AGAACAUAAGAAGAGUACUGCUGGACCAGGUCCCAGCGGUCAAUCUAGUCCAGCAUCCUGUCUCACAUAGUGGUCAACUAGUUACUCUGGAGGGCACAACAGGGUACAAAAGCUGAG